AUGAACGCUAGCUACAGGCUUAACACAUGCAAGUCGAGGGGCAGCAUGGUCUUAGCUUGCUAAGGCCGAUGGCGACCGGCGCACGGGUGAGUAACACGUAUCCAACCUGCCGUCUACUCUUGGACAGCCUUCUGAAAGGAAGAUUAAUACAAGAUGGCAUCAUGAGUCCGCAUGUUCACAUGAUUAAAGGUAUUCCGGUAGACGAUGGGGAUGCGUUCCAUUAGAUAGUAGGCGGGGUAACGGCCCACCUAGUCUUCGAUGGAUAGGGGUUCUGAGAGGAAGGUCCCCCACAUUGGAACUGAGACACGGUCCAAACUCCUACGGGAGGCAGCAGUGAGGAAUAUUGGUCAAUGGGCGAGAGCCUGAACCAGCCAAGUAGCGUGAAGGAUGACUGCCCUAUGGGUUGUAAACUUCUUUUAUAAAGGAAUAAAGUCGGGUAUGGAUACCCGUUUGCAUGUACUUUAUGAAUAAGGAUCGGCUAACUCCGUGCCAGCAGCCGCGGUAAUACGGAGGAUCCGAGCGUUAUCCGGAUUUAUUGGGUUUAAAGGGAGCGUAGAUGGAUGUUUAAGUCAGUUGUGAAAGUUUGCGGCUCAACCGUAAAAUUGCAGUUGAUACUGGAUAUCUUGAGUGCAGUUGAGGCAGGCGGAAUUCGUGGUGUAGCGGUGAAAUGCUUAGAUAUCACGAGGAACUCCGAUUGCGAAGGCAGCCUGCUAAGCUGCAACUGACAUUGAGGCUCGAAAGUGUGGGUAUCAAACAGGAUUAGAUACCCUGGUAGUCCACACGGUAAACGAUGAAUACUCGCUGUUUGCGAUAUACAGCAAGCGGCCAAGCGAAAGCGUUAAGUAUUCCACCUGGGGAGUACGCCGGCAACGGUGAAACUCAAAGGAAUUGACGGGGGCCCGCACAAGCGGAGGAACAUGUGGUUUAAUUCGAUGAUACGCGAGGAACCUUACCCGGGCUUAAAUUGCAGAUGAAUUACGGUGAAAGCCGUAAGCCGCAAGGCAUCUGUGAAGGUGCUGCAUGGUUGUCGUCAGCUCGUGCCGUGAGGUGUCGGCUUAAGUGCCAUAACGAGCGCAACCCUUGUUGUCAGUUACUAACAGGUUCCGCUGAGGACUCUGACAAGACUGCCAUCGUAAGAUGUGAGGAAGGUGGGGAUGACGUCAAAUCAGCACGGCCCUUACGUCCGGGGCUACACACGUGUUACAAUGGGGGGUACAGAGGGCCGCUACCACGCGAGUGGAUGCCAAUCCCCAAAACCUCUCUCAGUUCGGACUGGAGUCUGCAACCCGACUCCACGAAGCUGGAUUCGCUAGUAAUCGCGCAUCAGCCACGGCGCGGUGAAUACGUUCCCGGGCCUUGUACACACCGCCCGUCAAGCCAUGGGAGCCGGGGGUACCUGAAGUGCGUAACCGCGAGGAGCGCCCUAGGGUAAAACUGGUGACUGGGGCU
rnacentral:rRNA from 1 species